rnacentral:rRNA from 1 species
UACGGGGGGGGCAAGCGUUGUCCGGAUUUAUUGGGCGUAAAGAGCUCGUAGGCGGCUAGUUGCGUCGACUGUGAAAACCCGCGGCUCAACCGUGUGGUCUGCAGUCGAUACGGGCUGGCUGGAGUUCGGUAGGGGAGACUGGAAUACUUGGUGUAGCAGUGAAAUGCGUAGAUAUCAAGUGGAACACCAGUGGCGAAGGCGAGUCUCUGGACAUUUCCUGACGCUGAGGCACGAAAGCCAGGGGAGCAAACGGG